ensembl:lncRNA
GUAGCAGUGUAGCUAACUACUGGAACUACACUAGUUAUUUUGCUAAAAGGACCAUGCCUCAGGACUACCUGGCCUGAUGACUCCAGUCCACCUGGUCGUGCUGCUGCUCCAGUUUCAACUGUUCUGCCUGCGGCUAUGGAACCCCGACCUGUUCACCAGACGUGCUACCUUGUCCCGAACAUGCUGUUUUCGACUCUCUCUACCGCACCUGCUGUCUCUAACUCUGAAUGAUUGGCUAUGAAAAGCCAACUGACAUUUACUCCUGAGGUGCUGACCUGCUGCACCCUCUACAACCACUGUGAUUAUUAUUAUUUGACCCUGCUGGUCAUCUAUGAACGUUUGAACAUCUUGGCCGUGUACUGUUAUAAUCUCCACCCAGCACAGCCAGAAGAUUACUGGCCACCCCUCAGAGCCUGGUUCCUCUCUAGGUUUCUUCCUAGGUUCCUGCCUUUCUAGGCAGUUUUCCCUAGUCACUGUGCUUCUACAUCUGCAUUGCUUGUGGUUUGGUGUUUUAAACUGGGUUUCUAUAUAGCACUUUGUGACAUCGGCUGAUAUAAAAAGGGCUUUAUAAAUACAUUUGAUAGAUAGCUUGGUAAACUAUACUGAACAAAAAUAUAAACGCAACAUGCAACAAUUUAAUUGAUAUUACUGAGUUCAUGUGAAGAAAUCAGUCAAUUGAAAUAAAUAAAUACAUUAGGAUUAGGCCCUAAUCUCUGGAUUUCACAGAUAGCAGAUGUUCUGAAAGAGCUGCAAAACCUGGACCUGUACAAAUCAGCUGGGCUUGACAAUCUGGACCCUCUAUUUCUGAAACUAUUCGCCGCCAUUGUCGCAACCCCUAUUACCAGCCUGUUCAACCUCUCUUUCAUAUCGUCUUGAGAUCCCCAAGGAUUGGAAAGCUGCUGCAGUCAUCCCCCUCUUCAAAGGGGGAGACCCCCUGGACACAAACUGUUACAGACCUAUAUCCAUCCUGCCUAUCUAAGGUCUUCGAAAGCCAAGUCAACAAACAGGUCACUGACCAUCUCGAAUCCCACCGUACCUUCUCCGCUGUGCAAUCUGUUUUCCGAGACGGUCACGGGUACACCUCAGCCAUGCUCAAGGUACUAAACGACAUCAUAACCGCCAUCGAUAAAAGACAGUACUGUGCAGCCGUCUUCAUCGACCUUGCCAAGGCUUUCGACUCUGUCAAUCACCAUAUUCUUAUCGGCAGACUCAGUAGCUUCGGUUUUUCUGAUCACUGCCUUGCCUAGUUCACCAACUACUUUGCAGACAGAGUUCAGUGUGUCAAAUUGGAGGGCAUGCUGUCCGGUCCUCUGGCAGUCUCUAUGGGGGUGCCACAGGGUUCAAUUCUCGGGCCCACUCUUUUCUCUGUAUAUAUCAAUGAUGUUGCUCUUGCUGCGGGUGAUUCCCUGAUCCACCUCUAUGCAGACGACACCAUUCUGUAUACUUCCGGCCCGUUCUUGGACACUGUGCUAUCUUACCUCCAAACGAGCUUCAAUGACAUACAACACUCCUUCCGUGGCCUCCAACUGCUCUUAAACGCUAGUAAAACCAAAUGCAUGCUUUUCAACCGUUC